rnacentral:rRNA from 1 species
UACGGGGGGGGCAAGCGUUGUUCGGAAUUACUGGGCGUAAAGGGCUCGUAGGCGGCCAACUAAGUCAGACGUGAAAUCCCUCGGCUUAACCGGGGAACUGCGUCUGAUACUGGAUGGCUUGAGAUCGGGAGAGGUACGCAGAAUUCCAGGUGUAGCGGUGAAAUGCGUAGAUAUCUGGAGGAAUACCGGUGGCGAAGGCGGCAUCCUGGACCGACAUUGACGCUGAUGAGCGAAAGCUAGGGGAGCAAACGGG